GGUUUGUUGUCUCAGUUGGUUAGAGCGUUGUGCUAAUAACGCCAAGGUUGCGGGUUCGAUUCCUGUACAGGCCA